AUUGAACGCUGGCGGCAGGCCUAACACAUGCAAGUCGAGCGGAAACGAUGGAAGCUUGCUUCCAGGCGUCGAGCGGCGGACGGGUGAGUAAUGCAUAGGAAUCUGCCCGGUAGUGGGGGAUAACCUGGGGAAACCCAGGCUAAUACCGCAUACGUCCUACGGGAGAAAGCAGGGGAUCUUCGGACCUUGUGCUAUCGGAUGAGCCUAUGUCGGAUUAGCUAGUUGGUGAGGUAAUGGCUCACCAAGGCCGCGAUCCGUAGCUGGUCUGAGAGGAUGAUCAGCCGCAUCGGGACUGAGACACGGCCCGAACUCCUACGGGAGGCAGCAGUGGGGAAUAUUGGACAAUGGGCGAAAGCCUGAUCCAGCCAUGCCGCGUGUGUGAAGAAGGCUUUCGGGUUGUAAAGCACUUUCAGUGGGGAAGAAAUCCUCGGGGCCAAUACCCUCGAGGGAGGACAUCACCCACAGAAGAAGCACCGGCUAACUCCGUG
rnacentral:rRNA from 1 species